AUUCUUUCGCAGAGGCGAUAUCGUAGCCUGUGAGGUUAAUCCGAGGGUGUGAUCAUUGCUGGUUGAAAACUUUACCCAAUACCCCGCUAGGAUGACUUGAAAUAUAGUCAGCCAUGGCAAUUUUUGAUGGUCUCAUUUGAGA
ensembl:snRNA U4 U4 spliceosomal RNA